UGAUAUUAACCUUUCCAAGGCAAAGCCGUUUGCAACAUUUGUGGAUAUCAAAACCGAAUUAUUUUCGGAAAUCCGAUUAAUCUCAUCGGCUUCCUCCUGUUGCACUCUUAAGUGGAUAUAAGCAGGCUUUGUGAAAACUUUUUGAUUUUUUUUUUUAAAUCGUAUCAAAAUUUGACACAUGGUUUGAAACAGGCAACGCUUCUCAAGAAAAGGAAAACAAUGUGUAUAAUUGUGAAAAAACGACAAUCAUCUUGGAUGAUCUUUCAUUUGGGGAACCCGUGCGUUGUCCGAGUGUUUAUGGGGGUCUGCUGGAGCCAGUCCCAAGCUGCCUGGAGGAGUGGAGAAGCUUGCCUGGAGGAGUGGAGAAGAAGAUAAUAGAAGAAAAUAAUUGAAUUGUGUGAUGUUCUGUGCUUUUGGGACUGUGUUGUGCUUGUGGGAAAUGGGGAAUACAAGGAAGAAAGAAAAGAAAGCUCCUGUGUGCUUGCACUUCUGUCUACUGCGUCUGUCUGUGUCGGGGUUGACUUUCACAUAUUAUUAUUAUUUUUAUCAUCUUUGUCAUGAAGCCAUAGCGUUUGUAUCACAACAGUAAGAAAAGUCCUAAUGAUUUCCAAGGAAACUACAAAACUAUAAAUGUAUGGUGGCCAUUUUGCAGCCUAGAAUGCUGUAAAAUCUUGAUGUCCUUGAGCAUGAACUCACACUCCUAGCUGGGAGUAGAUGUAGGAUAAUUCAUAAAUAAUGAUCGUGUUUUACUCUGAGGUAGGAGAAAUUCUUAUCCUAGUCAGAUUUGUGAUGCAAUUCCUUGUAGUAAUUUUGAGACACCUGACAAAUACGGACACUGGACUCCGACUCCCCAACUGGCCCUUCCAAGAUAUUAACAUUAUUGCUUUGAAGCCAUUCCUGUGCAGCUUUGACAUUAUGCUUGAGUUCAUUGUCUUGCUAGAAAACAAAUGAUUUCCCAAAGCGCCGUUUUUUUUGCAGUCUGCUUCAGGCUUUCCUCCAGGAUUUCCGAUAUUUUGCCGUGUUAGUUCUUCCUUCUACCUUCACAAGCCUUCCUGGCCCUGCUGCAGAGAGGCAUCCCUACAGCAUGAUGCUGCCACCACUAAUUUUACAGUGGGGAUGGUGUGUUUUUGGUAAUUUGCAGCAUUUGUCUUACAUCAAAUAGUGCAUUUAUUCUGAUGGCUAAAAAGCUUCAUUUUAUUCUCACCAGACCACAAUAUUCUUCAGUGUGCUUCCAUAUACCUUUUGCUGAGAUGUCACAUACAUUUUUCUUUUAGUGGAUUUCACUUUCAUUCUCCCUUGAAGCUGUGACUUGACUUCAGACAAGUGAUCUCUUUGUAACUAAUUCUAUGUCUUCAAAAGUAAUUGGCUGUACCAGUGAUGAUUUAUGUCUGGCAUAUUAAAGGUGUGAAUACUUA